AUGGAUGAUGAAGAGACACAGCCAAAUAGUCUCUGCAGUGUUCACGAGCCCCGGCUGUGCUCAGGAAAGGAUUUCUUCCUGGAAAACCAAAAUCCUGGACCCUCCUCCCAUGGAGCAGAGCAGGAAGGAAGAGCAGAGGAGGAAGCUGCUUUGAACGAAAACUAUGUGCCCAGUGUGUGCAAGGGAACAUGGCUGAGACAGGAAUGUGGCCAUAGGAAAACAAGGAAUGUAGGAGAAUGGGAAAAGGUGACAUGCAGGGGCAUAUCACAAGGUUUGUAUGCACAGUGGGUGCAAAUAAUGUCUUGACAUGCACACUAAUCAGCAAUGUGCAAAAAGACCUCUGAAGCUUACAAACAAUCAAGCCCUCAACAGAGGCAAGCAGUUGCCCAAUAUUCUCUUUAGGGUCUUCUCCAAGACAGAAUGAAGCCUGAGGCAGUGUUUUGUACAUUCUUGCUGAGGUUUCCAAACAUGUCAACAAAACUUCAUAGUCAAUCAUACCAAUCAGUAGGAAACUAGAAAUUAUAUGUGCUUGUGCAAUCUCUGAAACUCACUCAACUAUGACCUAGAAAGCUAUGGGAAAUGACAUUGUCAUCACUGAAUUUCUGUUAGACUUAUCUUGAUACUUGAAAUAAUGAUGAAAUAAGCUGUCUGAUUAAUGACAUUAUUAUUAUCAUUCUCUGCUCAUUGCAUAACAAAAGCAUACAAACAAAAGGAAAGAAGAAAACAGAAGACAUACACGAGUAUAUUCAUAAUUAAUGGAAAACUUUACCAUGCCAACUGCAUUGCCUUAGAAAUAACUGUGACAGUUCAGUGUUGGAUGUGGUUCAUAGUGCUGUGUGAAUUUGCCCAGAGAGGCUGUGGAGUCUCCUUCUCUGGACAUAUUCAAAACCUGCCUGGAUGCCAUCCUGUGCAAUGUGCUCUAGUUGAUCCUACCCGGCAGAGGAGUUGGACUAGAUGAUCUCCAGAGGUCCCUUCCAACCUCAACCAUUCUGUGAUUCUGUGAUUCUGAUACACAUUUAACAGUCAUAAUGCUAACAUCCCCCAUGGCCCCCAGUAUGCUCCAAAAGAAAUAUAUUUAAUUUACAAUGUGCCCUUAUUUAGUAAUACAGAAGCUGGUCCUAUGCAACUGAGGGCUCAAAACCAGUGUUUUCUACCAUGGAUAGUUUCCCUCAUCUAAAGGAUUACACUUGAUAAGCAGGGAAUUUACCAAACGUUUGGCCCUUAGCACUCAAACAUGCCUUACUUUGCAUGUAUGGUCACCCAAACAGCAAAAGUCUUGCCCCAGUUCCCCAGUGCUACCAGUUUUCUGUCACCUGGAAACACUGAGAACCCCAGCUUCUGCUUUCAGGCAUUAAGAAAGUGGGAGCCUGCAAGCCAUAGGAGUUGUGAAUGAGCUAAGACUUCUGUGUACACAUUGGGUACCCUUGUACUUUGAAAAAAAUAUAAAAAAUAAAAAAGUACGAAAAACCUUUAAACUGUCUCA
rnacentral:lncRNA from 1 species